rnacentral:rRNA from 1 species
AUUGAACGCUGGCGGCAGGCCUAACACAUGCAAGUCGAACGAGUGGCGGACGGGUGAGUAAUGUCUGGGAAACUUCCUGAUGGAGGGGGAUAACUCCUUGAAACGGUAGCUAAUACCGCAUCCCAUCAGAUGUGCCCAUCUGGGAUUAGCUAGUUGGUGGGGUAAAGGCCUACCAAGGCGACGAUCCGUAACUGGUCUUAGAGGAUGAUCAGCCACACUGGGACUGAGACACGGUCCAGACUCCUACGGGAGGCAGCAGUGGGGAAUAUUGGACAAUGGGCGAAAGCCUGAUCCAGCCAUGCCGCGUGAGUGAAGAAGGUUUUCGGAUCGUAAAACUCUUUUGUUAGAGAAGCGGUAGCUAACCAGAAAGCCACGGCUAACUACGUGCCAGCAGCCGCGGUAAUUC